AUGGCCGUCGCACCAAGCUCGCCGACGCAGCGCCUCCGCGCCUGUAUGCCGCCGGCGGCAGCCUUCGCCACGCAUGUCGCGCUGCGCGCUAGCAACGAGCCGCACAAGGCAGCAGCGACCACCGCGACGACGGUGGCCGUACCCGUACCCACUGCUGUUGUGGCGCCUGCGGAGAGGCGUUCCGACGCCCAGGUCGCGGCGCCGUCGUUGGCGUGCACGUGGGAGGACGUGCAUGGCGCCGACGACUGGCGAGGGCUGGUGGAGCCGCUCCACCCGCUCCUCCUCGCCGAGGUCGUCCGGUACGGAGAGCUCGUCGGCGCGUGCUACCGCGCCCUGGACCUCGACCCAAGGUCAAAGCGGUACCUCAACUGCAAGCACGGGAAGAAGCAGAUUCUGCAGGCGGUCGGCAUGGCCGACGCCGGGUACCAAGUGACCAAGUACAUCUACUCGGCCCCUGAGGUGACCCUGCCAAUGGGGAUCUGCCGUCCCUGCAGCAAAAGCCGGUGGAUCGGCUACGUGGCCGUCGCGUCAGAUAAAGAGGCGGGGCGGCUCGGCCGGCGGGACAUCCUAGUCUCCUUCCGCGGCACCGUGACCUGCUCGGAGUGGCUGGCCAACUUCAUGAGCGCGCUCGCUCCGGCGCGGUUUGAUCCGGCCGACCCACGCCCGGACGUGAGGGUCGAGUCGGGGUUCCUCUCCCUCUACACCUCCGACAACGACACCGCCAAAUUCACCGCCGGGAGCUGCCGCAACCAGCUGCUCUCCGAGAUUUCCCGUCUCAUCGCGGAGCACAAGCACGAGGACAUGAGCAUAACCCUCGCGGGCCACAGCAUGGGGAGCUCCCUCGCGCUCCUACUCGGCUAUGACCUCGCCGAGCUCGGCAUGAACCGUGGCGUCCACGGCGGUGCAAUCCCCAUCACGGUGUUCUCCUUCGGGGGACCGCGCGUUGGCAACCUUGAGUUCAAGAACCGGUGCGACGAGCUUGGCGUCAAGGUACUCCGGGUUGCCAACGCGAACGACCCGGUCACCAAGAUGCCCGGUGUCAUCUUCAACGAGACCGUUAGGGUUCUGGGAGGGCGGUAUGAGAUGCCGUGGAGCAAGGCUUGCUAUGCGCACGUCGGCGUUGAGGUCGCCCUCGACUUCUUCAAGGCCGGGGACAUCGCCUGUGUACACGAUCUGGAGGUAUAUAUCGAUCAGCUCCUAAAGAUCCCUAAGGACGAGGUCGCCACAGCUUCCUCGGCGAAUAGGGUUCAGUCUAUGUUUGAGUGCUGGAGAUGGCAAAUGGCGAUGAUUCGUGCCGGAGAGUGGCUGCGCGCGCUAGGAAUUUGA
rnacentral:rRNA from 1 species